UCAUUUUGGAAUAGUUGUGUAGAUGGUCUGUUGUGGAGUAAAAUCUGGAUGUUGCUGAUGUGUUGAUUCAAACCGUCUAUAGAAUCAGUCAAAAAAGAUCAAUAUCACCAACUGUUUUCCCCCUCGAGUCAUUCGAUUCAUCACUGGCAGUAAUGACCUAUUCCCUUGUUACCCCACCAGAUAAAAUUGUGAUCACACAGUGAACGCUCAAGGACGGCAACUGCUGCAGCUCUGCCAAGGACUGGCUCUGUACAUCGUCAACGGAAGACUGCGAGGGGACUCGCUCGGCCGAUACACCAACAGCUCAGCUCAGAUCUCGACCUUUCUUCUUUGAGAGCAUUCACAGUCAAACCCUUAAAACCUUUCUCAGACCACAGCCAAAUCACCCUUUAUAUAAAGCAAUCUGAAACAUCACCUAAACCAAUUAAAAAACCAUAUCAAAUUAACAAAAUAACAUCAUUUAAAUGGCCAGAAAACAGCACCACUAAUUACAUCAAUGCUGUUGAAUCUUCAGAAAUUCAAUCUCUCUUACAUUCAUUCCAAACACAGGUAUACCCUAAAAAUCAAUUCGGCAUCAAUCAGGAAGUACAAGAUCUAACAUUCUACAAAACAACACAAAAAAGUAAUUUAACAAUUGUUAAAUCAAAGAAAAAUAUUUGAUUUGGACUGUAAGGCUCUGAGAAAAAACCUCCGAAAUUUAUCAAAUCAAAAACACAGACAACCAGAUAAUCCGGACCUCCGCCUUCAUUACUGUGAGGCACUAAAACAAUAUAAAGCCACAUUCCGUAAGAAAAAAGCACAGUUUUUGCAAAACCAGUUUGAAGAAAAGAUUGAAGAAAUCGAAAAGUCUAUAAAUUCACACAAAUUUUAUGAUAAAUGGAGAUUACUAUACAAACCAAAUCAAGAAGUUCUGGCAAUCCAAGAUGGGGAGAAAUGGAAAAACCACUUCCAAGAAUUAAAUAGCCCAUCUGAAAUUCUAAAUUCUAAUCAAAAUGAAAUAAUUAAUAAACUAGACAAUUUGGAACGAUCAGUUGAAGCAAAUCAAAACCCCUUAGAUUUUCCCAUAACAAUAACAGAAUUGGAAGACAAAUUACGGGUCCUUGAGUCCAAGAAAGCCUGUGGUGUUGACAGCAUCCUGAAUGAGAUGCUGAAACACACAGACCAAAGCUUCAAACUGGCAAUGCUAAAACUAUUAAAUGAUGUUCUGAGUGUCGGGUUUUUCCCUGAGAUCUGAACAAGGGCCUCAUUAGCCCCAUCCACAAGAAUGGUGACAAAUUAGACCCCAGCAACUACCGAGGCAUUUGUGUGAACAGUAACCUGGGGAAGGUUUUCUGCAGCAUCUUAAACACGAGACUCCUAGACUUCCUUAUGAAGCACAAUGCCUAAAUGUCAAAUUGGCUUUCUUCCAAAAUGUCGCACAUCCGAUCACAUUUUCACAUUACAAACACUGAUAAAUAUAUACAUCAAAACAAAAGACAAUUUUUUGCUUGUUUCGUUGAUUUCAAAAAAGCAUUUGAUUCAAUCUGGCAUGAAGGAUUAUAUUUACUUAAUUAGGAUUAUAUUAUUAUACUGUAACGGAUUUCUGUAAUUUGAACAGUAUUUUACUGUAAACGGCAAAGGAUUAUGGGAAAAUAUAUGGUUGGUGCCUUUUUUCUGACUGUCGGCCGGAUCGCCGUUAUAACGGUGAUAUGAUCACUUGAUUCAGAUCUGCUCAUCAGGCAGAGCCAUGGAAACUUAACGUUAACAGCAGAGAACUAACAUGACAUACUGAUGGGGUUUUGGACCCUUUUCAUUGCCGUCAUAACGGUAACAUCUGUUUUUGCGGGAUCAUGUCAUCUGUAUCGUCGGAGGAUCAUUCUGGAGUCUUUUCUUGUGAUUGCCGUCGUAACGGCGGUAACAUCAACAGCUGCCAUUUCCUCUGGACUGUACCACUGCUGCUGCUCUCACUAACACAGAAAGAGUGAUGCUUUGAGGAGGAGGAAAAAGGAGAGUCUUUAAGCAAAAAAACAUGGAUGCUGACUAUGAAGGGCAGAAUAAUCAUCUAGCCAACAGACUCUUUUUCAUCAUUUGCUGUCCACUUUGUUGGAAUGCAGAAUUGGGUUCAUUCCGAGAAUCAACCCUGAUGGCACCAAAUACCCAAGUCAAAGAUCAGAUGGAAUCUCAAAAGGUCCAAAGAAAAGCUUCAGCCUGAACCCAUCAAGGUGUUUCUCAUCUGAAAGCUUGUCAACUUUGACUGCCGUAAUUAUUGAAAUGUAACACAACACAAACUGACUUUUACUGCAUUUUUAAGGCCUGUUUUGCUUUUCAGCAUGUGUACUUUUUUGCCAUGUUACAGAAGAAAGAAAAGGUUUAAAAUGAUUAAAAAGAAUAUUAUAUGGACAAA